rfam:Actinomycetales bacterium JB111 genome assembly, contig: Scaffold7
UCGGCCUCCGGUUCACGCCCGGCACCAGUCGCGGCGACCCGGUCC